rnacentral:lncRNA from 1 species
UCAGGGAGUGGUAGCCCAAGAGGAAACUGAUUCUGGAGAGACAGUUCAUAGAUGCCGAUCUAGUUCCUCACAACCCUUACGUGCAAGCACAAUUCUGCACGAGAGAGGGUUGGAGAUUCUUCAAGGAACGUGUUGGUUUGGCCAAUGAGCACGUGGUGAAGAACUUUUACCAUAAUGUUCACCAUAUAGUUUGGGACUCCAAAGAACUAAAAGUGAGGGAAAGAUUGUGCUAAUUGAUAGGAAGUCACUGAAUGACUUCUUGGGGUUCGAAAAAGAGGAUGAAUCUCAG